CCUUUUUAUAAUCGUCCUGAUCCUCGGAGGAAGCCUCGUACUCGCUUUCCUUUGUGCCCCUUGCAUCGCCAGAAGCAGAACUUGAGAGAGGAACAAAGAAAUAAUAUUACUAAGCAACGUCAUUACUUAUAUUUUUCUUUCUUUCUUAGGAUAAUUCAAGGACGUCUAAGAAAGAAAGAGAAAAAGAGAGAGAGAGAGAGAGAGACACUCUUCUACGAUUCUUAGGAAAAUGAAAUUUACAAUAAUACUCGUCGUUUAUCCAACUAUGACAAUUAUAUUCAACUAAAGUGAAACUAAUCGAAUCGAAUCUUACGAACGUUGUUUAAUGUGCUACAGUUGUCGAGAAAUCGGUGAAAAAAUGAAAUGAGUGACCGUGAUAAUGAUAACAAAUAAUCUACGUUAUUUCAUGAAGCAACGAAUUGAACGAGGAUGUGAUUCGUCGUGAUCUCAAAUAUACGAAUAUUUGAGAAGCAAGAAUAAAAACGCAGAUAAGAGAACAAAAAAAAA
rnacentral:lncRNA from 1 species